CAGAGGGUGCAAGCGUUGUUCGGAAUUACUGGGCGUAAAGGGCGUGUAGGCGGUUUAACAAGUCAGAUGUGAAAUCCCGGGGCUUAACUCCGGAAGUGCAUUUGAAACUGUUAGGCUAGAGUACUGUAGAGGUUGGCGGAAUACCCAGUGGAGAGGUGAAAUUCGUAGAUAUUGGGUGGAACACCGGUGGCGAAGGCGGCCAACUGGGCAGUAACUGACGCUGAGGCGCGAGAGCGUGGGGAGCAAACAGGAUUAGAUACCCUGGUAGUCCACGCUGUAAACUAUGGAUACUCGCUGUGGCUGGUAUUGACCCCGGCCGUAGCCAAGUUAACACGUUAAGUAUCCCGCCUGGGGAGUACGGUCGCAAGAUUA
rnacentral:rRNA from 1 species